rnacentral:rRNA from 1 species
GAUGAACGCUGGCGGCGUGCCUAACACAUGCAAGUCGAGCGGUAAGGCCCUUUCGGGGGUACACGAGCGGCGAACGGGUGAGUAACACGUGGGUGACCUGCCCUCAGCUCUGGGAUAAGCCUGGGAAACCGGGUCUAAUACUGGAUAUGACUCCAUGACGCAUGUUGUGGGGUGGAAAGCCUUGUGCGGCUGAGGAUGGGCCCGCGGCCUAUCAGCUUGUUGGUGGGGNGAUGGCCUACCAAGGCGACGACGGGUAGCCGGCCUGAGAGGGCGACCGGCCACACUGGGACUGAGACACGGCCCAGACUCCUACGGGAGGCAGCAGUGGGGAAUCUUGCGCAAUGGGCGAAAGCCUGACGCAGCGACGCCGCGUGAGGGAUGACGGCCU